AUUGAACGCUGGCGGCAGGCUUAACACAUGCAAGUCGAACGAGUGGCGGACGGGUGAGUAAUGCCUGGGAAUCUGGCUUAUGGAGGGGGAUAACUACGGGAAACUGUAGCUAAUACCGCGUACCAUAGGAUGAGCCCAAGUGGGAUUAGGUAGUUGGUGAGGUAAAGGCUCACCAAGCCGACGAUCCCUAGCUGGUCUGAGAGGAUGACCGGCCACACUGGGACUGAGACACGGCCCGGACUCCUACGGGAGGCAGCAGUGGGGAAUAUUGCGCAAUGGGGGCAACCCUGACGCAGCCAUGCCGCGUGUAUGAAGAAGGCCGUAGGGUUGUAAAGUACUUUCAGCGGGGAGGCGUUACCUACAGAAGAAGCACCGGCUAACUCCGUGCCAGCCGCCGCGGUAAUAC
rnacentral:rRNA from 1 species